AGCGAACGCUGGCGGCAGGCCUAACACAUGCAAGUCGAACGGACCCUUCGGGGUUAGUGGCGGACGGGUGAGUAACACGUGGGAACGUGCCUUUAGGUUCGGAAUAGCCCCUGGAAACGGGUGGUAAUGCCGAAUGUGCCCUUCGGGGGAAAGAUUUAUCGCCUUUAGAGCGGCCCGCGUCUGAUUAGCUAGUUGGUGAGGUAACGGCUCACCAAGGCGACGAUCAGUAGCUGGUCUGAGAGGAUGACCAGCCACACUGGGACUGAGACACGGCCCAGACUCCUACGGGAGGCAGCAGUGGGGAAUCUUGCGCAAUGGGCGAAAGCCUGACGCAGCCAUGCCGCGUGAAUGAUGAAGGUCUUAGGAUUGUAAAAUUCUUUCACCGGGGACGAUAAUGACGGUACCCGGAGAAGAAGCCCCGGCUAACUUCGUG
rnacentral:rRNA from 1 species